CACUGGUCUGGAGGCGGCGAGUUACCUCCACUGAUUAUUCACAGUCAGGUACAGAUCCAACUCCCCCUCUUCUCUUUCCCCACUUCUUGCUACUGCCCUUGCCCUUGACUAGUUAAA
ensembl:misc_RNA Y_RNA Y RNA